rnacentral:rRNA from 1 species
UACGAAGGGGGCUAGCGUUGUUCGGAAUUACUGGGCGUAAAGGGCGCGUAGGCGGCGUGUCAAGUCAGGCGUGAAAGCCCCGGGCUCAACCUGGGAACCGCGCUUGAGACUGGCAUGCUCGAGUUCGGGAGAGGAUGGGGAAUUCCCAGUGUAGAGGUGAAAUUCGUAGAUAUUGGGAAGAACACCGAUGGCGAAGGCAGCCAUCUGGACCGACACUGACGCUGAGGCGCGAAAGCGUGGGGAGCAAACAGG